CUGUCGUCAGCUCGUGUCGUGAGAUGUUGGGUUAAGUCCCGUAACGAGCGCAACCCUUGUCCUUAGUUACCAGCACGUUAUGGUGGGCACUCUAAGGAGACUGCCGGUGACAAACCGGAGGAAGUGGGGAUGACGUCAAGUCAUCAUGGCCCUUACGGCCUGGGCUACACACGUGCUACAAUGGUCGGUACAAAGGGUUGCCAAGCCGCGAGGUGGAGCUAAUCCCAUAAAACCGAUCGUAGUCCGGAUCGCAGUCUGCAACUCGACUGCGUGAAGUCGGAAUCGCUAGUAAUCGUGAAAUCAGCAUGCCGCGGUGAAUACGUUCCCGGGCCUU
rnacentral:rRNA from 1 species